rnacentral:rRNA from 1 species
GACAGAGGUGCCGAGCGUUAGGCGGAAUCACUGGGCUUAAAGCGUGUGUAGGCGGCUGGGUAAGUACCUUGUGAAAUCCCACGGCUCAACCGUGGAACUGCUCGGUAUACUGCUCGUCUUGAGCCAACUAGGGGCGACCGGAACAAACGGUGGAGCGGUGAAAUGCGUAGAUAUCGUUUGGAACGCCGAUGGUGAAAACAGGUCGCUGGGGUUGUGCUGACGCUGAGACACGAAAGCCAGGGGAGCGAACGGG